ensembl:lncRNA
CUCCUUUUCUCUGAUCCUGCAUCAUUCAGGACUACUGAAUGUCUUACUUGUACUGGAAGAGUCAAGUUAAUAAGUGUUUUGGUUUGGGUUAGCAGCAGUCCAGGCUGUAGAGGACUGAGCAGGAUUGGUACCCUGGUGCAGGGGGAUAGAAAGUGGAAGAAGACAUCCGAGUCGUCAUAAAGGAUUUCAGUUACUAAACCAGAAACUAGCUUCGUUCCGCAUUUCACUUUUUGUUUCAGUAAAUGCAUUCUCAGGCUCUGUAUCUCAGACCUUUGUUGCCAAUGUUGCUUCUUCUUCGAAUGUCCUGCAUUUCUCUUAUUUCACUCUGCGACAAUAAGAGCUUCCAUUUUUCCCCCAAACAGAAAGCCUGAAGUCCCCAGAGAGAUGCGUUGAUUUUACCCGCCGGCUUUUGGGGACAUGGAAACAUUGUUCCCUUGGAAACGGUGCUGAAGACCAGAGAGGCUGUAGAUCUGUUCUGACCUGAACAACAAAAGAGCGUUGACCUUUUUUCCCUAGCGCUAAAAAACCACAGCCAAACCCCAGCUCUCGUUUUGUCGCAGCAUGGCAUGUUACCACCACAAAGUGGAGGGAUUGAAGUUGUUUUCUCUUUUGGCUUCUGUGAAAUACUUUAGGCUGGAGACAAUAAUCAACCAUUUCAUAGCAGUCAGAACCGGUAUAUCUGCUUAUUUAUUACAUUGUAUGUCAUCAUUUCCAUUUUGAGCAGCCGGUGGUGCCGUGAGGGAUGUGAGAUCGAGUGCUCUAACUGCUCAGCCCUAGGGGUCGCUUGAGGAGCCUGGAGCCUAUCCCAGGGAACUCAGGGCACAGGACAGGGGUUCACCCUGGAUAGGGUGCCAGCCCAUCGCACAAGCACACACAUUCACACACUACGGACAAUUUGGAAAUGCCAGUCAGCCUACAACAGAUGUCUUUGGACUGGGGGAGGAAACCUCUGAAGCACAGGGAGAACAUGCAAACUUUAUGCACACAGGGCGGAGGUGGGAGUCGAACCCCCAACCAAGGUUCCUGAGAAGAGUUUUGGGCCUUUAUUGAGGGAUUAGAGCAAAUCCAUCCGAGCAGACAGGAUUGGGAGGCGACUCCCUGAAGAGACGGGCCUUUCUCUUCCCAUCAUCACUGGCAGCUCCUCAAAUGUGGUGUGGAAAUAACAGACACAUAUCCACCACCAUGGAGCCCUUUUAUAUGGAUAUAUCAUCCGAGUGAUGUAUGCUGAUGUAUGCUAAAUCGUUCGGGAGUGAGCGAGUUAGCACUGACAUUGUCGCCGCUUCUGUUCUCAAGAUGUAGCUAUAGCCGUGGCUAUUGAUGUUGGAGAAUUAGAAUUUCAGAGUGCUCAUUGGCUCACUUCCCUCCCUUCCUUUCUCACUUAGCAUUCACAGAAGACAACAGGGCCUACAGCCAAAGCCCUCCAUCUUUCUUUCUCUCUGUCCUUUGUUUUUCUUCCCCCUCCCCCCCCUCAUGGUGACAGUGCUCAUGUCUGCGUUUGCCUCUUUUGAUAAGGCCUUUCAUCCUGUUUGCAUUGAUUGCUGCUUGACGAGUUGCCCUGAUACGCCACGGUCCAUUCAGGGCCCCCGAGCGGCAUACUGGAGCUAUUGUGGACAGGAAUGUGUCUCUUUUCAGGGCUGGAGCCCACAAAUGAAAGCAUGUCAAUAAUCCCGAGACACCGGUGCUGCACAAUGCAGACAUGCCACACAGAGUCAGGCCUCCUUUUUCUGCUCCACUACCGGGGAAAUCAGGCGAAGAUGAGCGAGAGAGAGAGAGAGAGAGAGAGAGAGAGAGAGAGAGAGAAGUGUCCCCCCCAUGCUGAGGAUAAUCCUACCAGCUAUCAGUUAGAACCACAUUACCAUGCAAGCACACUGAGAGCUUUUUGGUAGAACAGGCUACAGAGGUGUGAAUCAUUCACAGAGAUUCUGUCAAAUUAUGGUUGGAUAUGCACAGUAUGCAUCACCACUUUCUGAUGCUCGCUCGUCACAGAUAAAUCGCCUUCAUCCCUUGAGAAAGUGUCAUUUUUGUACUCGAGAAAGAACUAGCUAUCGACAUGCAGGCUGCUGUUGUAAAUGAUGGAUCUUGUGUUUGUGGCUUUACACCAUAGUUUGUGUAAAUGGUAAUUAGAAAAGCAGAACGGGAAAACGGCAGUCAUGCUGAGAAUCAGG